rnacentral:rRNA from 1 species
UACGGAGGGUGCGAGCGUUGUCCGGAAUCAUUGGGCGUAAAGGGCGCGUAGGUGGCGGGACAAGCGUGCGGUGAAAGCUCGGGGCUCAACCCCGAGUCGGCCGUGCGAACUGUUUUGCUUGAGCACUGUAGAGGCAGGCGGAAUUCCGGGUGUAGCGGUGGAAUGCGUAGAGAUCCGGAAAGAACACCGGUGGCGAAGGCGGCCUGCUGGGCAGUAGCUGACACUGAGGCGCGACAGCGUGGGGAGCAACAGG